AGAGAAUAGGCCCAAGCGACUGUUUACCAAAAACAUAGGUUUCUGCUAAGUCGCAAGACGAUGUAUAGGAGCUGACGCCUGCCCGGUGCUGGAAGGUUAAGGGGAUCUGUUAGAGCAAUCGAAGCAGUGAACUUAAGCCCCAGUAAACGGCGGCCGUAACUAUAACGGUCCUAAGGUAGCGAAAUUCCUUGUCGGGUAAGUUCCGACCCGCACGAAAGGCGUAACGAUUUGGGCACUGUCUCA
rnacentral:rRNA from 1 species